rnacentral:lncRNA from 1 species
UCGAAGUUCCAAUUGCCUGUUUCUGAUAGCUGCAUAAUUCCUUUGAAUAAUAGGGUGGUGCCAAGAAGGUUAUUAUCUCUGCUCCAAGCAAAGAUGCACCUAUGUUUGUUGUUGGUGUCAAUGAGGACAAGUACACCUCAGAUGUUAACAUUGUCUCCAAUGCUAGCUGCACCACAAAUUGCCUUGCUCCCCUCGCUAAGGUGUGUUGUUGCAUCUUUGAGCUUUUUUUUAGUUGUUUCUGCUCUUCUGAUGUAGAUUGGUUAUUAAUUAAUGAUGUCUAUUUUCAUAAACCAGGUCAUCAAUGACAACUUUGGUAUCAUUGAGGGUCUGAUGACAACUGUUCAUGCCAUCACUGGUGAGUUCCGUUUGGCUGAUGAGCAAUCUUUUGCACUUGCAUUAUUGGGAAGUACUUGUAGUUGGCUGUAAAAUGACAGCAGUAUACUUCUAUGUCAGCCACCCAGAAGACUGUUGAUGGCCCAUCAGCCAAGGACUGGAGAGGUGGCAGGGCUGCCAGCUUCAACAUCAUUCCCAGCAGCACCGGUGCUGCCAAGGUAUAUGAUAAACUCGCGAUUUUGUAUGCUGAGAGCUAAUAUUUCCUCGUUUUUCCUAUAGUGGCUCGUUUGCAAAAACUGAUUUGACCAACUGGUUUGGCUGACAAUUAUUGAUAGAAACGUGAUAGCUUGCUUUACCGUGUUUUAGGGUUUACUUAGUUUUGUGAGUUAAUUUAUAUACUGUGGUACCAUAUGUAAGCUGAAAUAACAUAGCUAAAUGAGCAUGCGUAAGUGUUAAAAUGACUUCUAUAUCAACGUGUUGCAGGCUGUUGGUAAGGUUCUUCCUGAAUUGAACGGCAAGCUUACUGGUAUGUCCUUCCGUGUUCCCACUGUGGAUGUCUCGGUUGUUGACCUCACCGUUAGAAUUGAGAAGGCUGCUUCAUAUGAGGACAUCAAGAAGGCUAUCAAGUAAGUAGUUUCUUUUUUUUUAAAUUAAUCUCCAUGAAUGUCAUAACAUUUUCAUGUCGGCAUGACCCAAUGCUAUGUUUGAUGUGGGAGCGUGGUUUCCUGGUCCAUGUUUCUUGCGUGGUUUGGGAUCACAAAACACCAUCGACUUAAUUGGUUUGGUUUUACAGGGCUGCGUCUGAGGGGCCUCUCAAGGGUAUCAUGGGUUACACAGAGGAGGAUUUGGUUUCCACCGACUUCACUGGUGACAGCAGGUAUUGAAUUUUGUUUUGGAUCCUCUUUAAGGAUUAUUAUUACACUUCUAGUGCACACUGCUAUGAUGAAGUAUAAUGAUUCUCUGCUGUAUUUCAUCGUCAUUUCAUUGCUUCUACUCAGGUCGAGCAUCUUCGAUGCCAAGGCUGGAAUCGCUCUGAACGAGCACUUCGUCAAGCUUGUCUCCUGGUAUGACAACGAGUGGGGCUACAGCAACCGUGUCGUCGACCUGGUCCGCCACAUGGCCAAGACCCAGUAGAGCGUUUCGGCUUGAUGGUUCCCAUGGUCUUCCUGGUCGUGGACCGGCUAGCUGCUUGUCUAUGCAGAGAAUAAAUGUGCAUGGUGCCCUCCGGACAGGAUUCAUGCUAAGUUGGGACAUGAGUUGCCUUUUGUUUUUCCUAUCUGCCACCUUCCUGUAACGAAGUUGCUAUUAUGGACCUGAGUUUAGUUUUUGCUUGUGAAGAAUACAAACACAGGGGGGUUGUAAUUUUGCUCUAUUGGUCGGUCUGUUGCAUAGAUGAGCUUUUGUGUUUGGUAACGACAGUCUCAUGGUUCGUCCUGCUUCCUGUGUUCUCUGCUGUCUUCUGCAUUCAUCUUGAUCCCUACCCGUUUCUAUCGUGCGUUGCGCCCUCGUCGCAUGCCUGGUGGCAUCUGUACUUGAGGGAUUGCUGGUUGGAAAAGCACCGUGGGAUGUGCUCUUCAUUCCUUUUGGGUUUCUGCUGGUUGUUUUAGGUGGAAGAAUGAGAUGCCUCUUUUAUUUGGUUUCAUUUCAUUUUUGAGUUGCAUUUGGCUGUGUGGUUCUGAUUCCGACAGGCUGAAGUUUUUGAUAGGCAGCGCUGCUGGAAGCACCGUCGCUUCUAGCUUUGGAGAUGUUCCGUGCCUCGUUCCUUCUCACUGGUUCUGUUUUGUUGGGUAAGCCACGUGCCUGUGUGAUUCUGAUUCCAACCCUUGCUGAUGUUGAUCCGUCGCAGAGCGUUGCUUUUAGCUUCGUGCGGUGCAAAAAACUGUUGCCUCGAGAUGUUGAAUCCCUCGUUCGUGUUGCGGUCAUGUAUGUGACAAAGGGUUAUGGAUACCUCCACGGCGACGAAAAAAAGAGAGAGAGAAGCUACCGCGGCGAUGAAAUACAUAUCCAGACACAGCCCACACAGCGAUCGAGGUGAGGUAGGAUCCAUCAUCCAUGGUGCAGAGGCGGCGACGCGAUCGUGGCAAUCAAGAUGCAGUUGCUGCGCUACAGCGACCAGCGACGCCGCCAGUUCGACCGGGGCGACGCUGCGGAAUGCGUUUGGAUGCCCGCCACAUACUGCCACGCGCACGCGUGCAAGAGGUGUUUGGUUUCGAAGGUCUUAUGAUAAGCUCCACCGAUAAAUCUAAUAAUUUUUUAUUCAAACAUGAAAAUUUAUAGAUGAGAUUUAUAUCUAUAAGUGUUGUAAGUCCAUAAGCUCCUCUAAGAGAUAUUUAUAGGUCGCUCUUUCCUCCCACCACCAAAAUAUUCGGAUUAAGGUUAAAAUCCAAGUUAGAUGUUAUAUUAAUCCUAAAUUUAGAUUUUAUAUUUGAAUUGCAACAUUCUAAUAUAAAAGCACACACAAGAUUCGAUUCAAAAUCAAAUAAAAUCCAAAUCACACUAAUAUUUAAAUAAUUCUAACAAAUUAAAUUUAAAUUUUGGAUUUAAUUUAAUUAAUUUGGAAAAUUCAUAAAAGGAUAAUCUUAUAGUGAUCUGGAUGGAGUAAUUACAAACGCGGCACGGAAAAUUUUUGAAACCCAUAUUUUUACAUAAAAUAAUAUUAUAGAAAAAUCUAAGAUAUUACACAGCAGAUCUGAAUCAUAUCUUCUUCAUCCUCCUCUUAAGUCUUCGACUUCAAUCUUGAAAGAAUCGACGUUUUAAGAAAUAUACAUCACCGAAUGCUGCCUCGGAAUAACCACGAAGGAUGCUCCUGACGUGGGGAUUUGGUUCGAAGAAAGCGCACUGCAUGUAGGCAUGGCCAAAGCGUCCCUCGCCAUCCAAGCCACUGUCCACGAAUGAUCCAGGUGCCAUCACUAGAGCACUUGUCGAACAGAUUCCGGAGAGGCUCGGCCAUGAGGGCGCGGGGGAACGUCCCCUCGCCGUGGACCUUCUUGUGUUCAAGCCGGUGGACCGCCUCCAGGCAGACGAUGCAGGCGACGAGAGCAAAGAUUCCUACACGCCAGACACCAACACAACUCCGUAUGAGAGUCAAUCCGAUCGUCAGUCGUAUCCUAGUAAAUCCAUACGCGUAUACUAGAAAAUAUGCUCGCCGUUGCUACGUGAAAUCAUAUAAAAAUAUAAUAUUAUAUACCAUGUGUAUUCUAUAUAAUAAUACGGUACGUGUCAGUUGAGAACUUUAAUCUUAUUCUAUUUUAUAAAAACAUAAGUCAAAAGGCAGCACCUUCUCUUUCAUUAAGAGGAAGAAGAAACAGUAACUACUGCAACACAGAGUCGUGGAUCAGAGGUCCAAAAGCUCUAAAAUGAAGCCCAAGCACAGAGAACAAUUGACGACUGAGAAAUCUACCCGGGGUGGCAGGAAAGGGAGCGAUCGAACUGACGCCGGCAUGACAUCAAGCUUCACUAAUAGGCUUUCAGGAGCAGGCUUAACGGAAAACACUCGCAAGAAAUGCACCCGAGACACCCAUUGACAGCGAGAUCUACCCUGUGAUGCACCUAGAGCAACAAGCUGACCGCACCAUCUUUUUCUUCACCCUUUCGUUCUUGACACGCCUUCUAAACGCCCGUGCAGAACCUCGACAAACCGGUAGCAGAAGAAAAAGGAGAGCAAGCAUCGUGGUGGUGCCGGGCGGGCGCGAAGGCGACGGCCGGCGGCGCCGGCAGGAUUCGGAACCCGCGGCCGUGGCGGCCUGGCCUUUGGAACCUGACGAGCCCCGACGCCGACGUGUUGCAAACUCGGGGUCGUGGCGUGGCGUCGUGCGCGGUGACCAGGUCUGGACCCAUGGGCCGCACCCAUCGGAUGUGGAACCCGUGGGCGCCCGCACCCGUAGCCCAUGGGUCCGGCUGCCAUCCCUAGUCGCUCUCGGCUUUAUAAGGGCGGCCGCUCCUCAGGCCCCCCAUCUAACCAUAUCCGCCGUCUCCUCGUCAUCGCGGCAUCAGAUCCCAUCCUCGUCUUCGCGGCACCCUUCGCCAUGGGUAGUUGCUCUCUCCUGCCCCGGAUCUCCCUGCUGCUCCAUUUACGAUCUAGCCAGGAGGGUUUUGCUGACUUGUUUCCUUCUGCUUUUCGUUUUGCUGGCUGGAUUUGGGGAUGCAGGCAAGAUUAAGAUCGGAAUCAACGGUGAGUUUUUGCGCCGUACUAGUAGUUCGUGCUCGUUUGGUCUGUGUGCGGUUGAAUCUGGACUGAUCUGAGUGGGUUUUUGCUCGUCCACGUCUGUGAUUCGGCUCAGGUUUCGGAAGGAUCGGCAGGCUCGUGGCCCGUGUCGCCCUCCAGAGCGAGGAUGUCGAGCUCGUCGCCGUCAACGACCCCUUCAUCACCACCGACUACAUGGUACGCGCUUUGCUCGUUGCGGUCAGGCCGUGUGUAGAUCUGGUGGUUUAUUUGGGGGGUUUUGUGGUGGGUUCAGCGUCGAUUCGUGGUUAAUCGUUGCUUCCAGAGUUGUUCUGACUCUGAUGCUUUACUUGAGUUCCACGGAUCUGGGGGGAUUUGUUGGGGGUAUGGGUAUGGGCAGCUUGAGAUUUAGUGCUUCGCUCUGAGCUUAGUUUUGUCAUUUGUGGGUAUGCACAGCUUUAGAUUUAGCGGUUCGCUAUGUGUUUAGUCUUGAUAGGGUACUGCGCUGUGAAUUUUGUGUGCUGUGCUCAUGAUUUAUGUGCUUCCCCUGUCCUGUGUAGACCUACAUGUUCAAGUACGACACCGUGCACGGCCACUGGAAGCACAGUGACAUCAAGCUCAAGGACUCCAAGACCCUUCUAUUCGGUGAGAAGCCGGUCACCGUCUUCGGCAUGAGGUAGCCCCCUGUUACUGCUUCAUUCAGAGAUGGGUUAAGCUUUCUGUUCAAGCUGUGAGCUGAUGUUUGAGCUGCCACAAUUUGAAAGGAACCCCGAAGAGAUCCCGUGGGGUGAGGCUGGGGCUGACUAUGUUGUGGAGUCCACCGGUGUCUUCACUGACAAGGAGAAGGCUGCGGCUCACUUGAAGGUAUAAUUGCUGCUUGAUAGUCCUAUGGCUGUUUUAGAAUGUUUGUAGUUCAUUUGUGUAUCAUGUUUAUGUUCUCCCUAUUUUCUGAAUGUAUGCAUUUGUGGCGGAUUGUAUACUUGCAGGGAGGGGGGACAAAUUAACUGAUGGUCCACUUAGUUGGGCUUAACAAUUGGUGUCUUAAAUUUUAGCAGUAAUUUUUCUUAUUUAUUAACUUGGAAUAUGCAUGGCCUGUGCUUAAUGGUAGCUUCUUGGUUCCCAAUGGAGUUGAUCAUUUGCUUCUGACAUGCUUCGUACCAGUUUGUAUAAUGUCUAUUAGUUUUUGUUGUUUUAAGUAUAGAUACUGGGAGACUAUGAAACAAUGUAGUUUAGUGUCAUGAUUACGAUCUAAUACAUGUAGUCUAUACUCGAUCGCUUUACUUCUCAAGAAAUUGCCUGUUUCUGAUAGCUGCAUUUUCCUUUGAAUAAUAGGGUGGUGCCAAGAAGGUUAUUAUCUCUGCUCCAAGCAAAGAUGCACCUAUGUUUGUUGUUGGUGUCAAUGAGGACAAGUACACCUCAGAUAUUAACAUUGUCUCCAAUGCUAGCUGCACCACAAAUUGCCUUGCUCCCCUCGCGAAGGUG